GAUGAGCGCUAGCGACAGGCUUAAUACAUGCAAGUCGAGGGGCAGCACAGGUAGCAAUACUGGGUGGCGACCGGCAAACGGGUGCGGAACACGUACACAACUUACCUUAGAGUGGGGGAUAGCCCAGGGAAACUUGGAUUAAUACCCCAUAAAACAGGGGGCCCGCAUGGGCAUAUUGUUAAAGAUUUAUCGCUUUAAGAUGGGUGUGCGUAUGAUUAGGUAGUUGGUAGGGUAAAGGCCUACCAAGCCGAUGAUCAUUAACUGGUGUGAGAGCACGACCAGUCACACGGGCACUGAGACACGGGCCCGACUCCUACGGGAGGCAGCAGUAAGGAAUAUUGGUCAAUGGACGGAAGUCUGAACCAGCCAUGCCGCGUGAAGGAUGAAGGUCCUCUGGAUUGUAAACUUCUUUUAUAGGGGGCGAAAAAGGGCCAUUCUUGGUCAACUGACGGUACCCUAUGAAUAAGCACCGGCUAACUCCGUGCCAGCAGCCGCGGUAAGAC
rnacentral:rRNA from 1 species